AUGUUAUCAUAAGGUAUGGCCACAGUUCUGUAUAUCCAACUUUCAUCUCACUGUAUUCUAAUUUUCAUUUUUCAGAUUAUGAUGUGCUGACAGGAAGUUUCAAAGACAACAGAUAUUUAUUGUAAGAAAAGAAGGGCUACGUCUAACAAAUAUAUUACUACCAAACUGAAAUAGAGAAUGAGGCAGCUGAAGGGCAAAGCAAAGAAAGAAACCCGCCGGGACAAGGAGGAGAGGAAACAGACAUUCCAUGAGGCCAGGAAUCAGGUGGUGACCAUUGUCUUGCCAGUGCUUGGGGCGAUCGUCCUGCUCAUCACUCUUUUUGUCUACGUGAACACCAGGCCAAAGGCAUGAGCUAGACACCAUUUCUCUCCUUGCCUUGCGUGAUGACCAUCACACAACCACAUAGGGGGAAUGCUGCUUUACUACAAUGUGACAAGACACUAUAAGCUUAGUUUUGGUAAGCUAGAGAACAUAGAAGAGUUAAGUCAUUUGCAAGAAAACAGAUACUAGAUCGAUUUUGGAAUCGGUCAGACAUUUCAGGCAGUGUCCACUUAAACUGACAAAAGAAAGAUGCUAAAUUUUUAGAACUGUCAGAUGUUUUAGGUAUCGUCCACUACCUUUUGUAAGUGACAAUGAAGAAAGGUUACUAUAGUUGAUACCAUUUCCAAAGUCUAUCCACUUGCUUGGGUAAUUGCUAUCUUGUAUAUCUUAUCACCUGGAUGUUUAAUAUUCAUUCAUGAGGCCAUUUACAUAUUAGUCAAUAAUGCAGAGUUCAAAGGUCAUACCACCAUGAGAUUCUUACAAAGCAUUCUGAGAUUAGGAACCGGAGGAGUUUUGCUCAGAACAAUCUUGCCAGCAUAAACCCUAUAGUAUGAA